GCCUACCACCGGUUUUGGCUCUGCGCGCAGCUGACAGAAGUUUGUCUCAGGCGCCGCCAGAGCUUGUGCAGGGGUGGCCGGGUCAGCGUCUCUGCUGCCAGGAGCUGAGUCUCCUUUAGACUCGCCGGGGCUUGGGCUUCAGGACAACACGGGGCUGUGUCCAUGCUGACAGGAGCUGCGUUUCCUGACGACCCAGGAGACGCCAGGAGGAAAAGAUCAUCCACAACACCAAAGACAGAGUGGCUCCUAAUCUAAUCUUCCCACAGUGCCUGUAAAUUCCAUGUGGACUUUGGGUGAACUGGAUCUGGUGGUUCUGCAGGCUCGCCAGUUGUGAGCGUGGGCUCCAGGGAACUGAGAGGUUGAGGUCUGCACUUCCCAGCUGGCCAGCAGGCGGCACCAAGCCCACCUCUCUGAUACUUGAGGUGCAUGUGUGUUCCACUGGUGGACUUGGCUCAUGAAGGAACUUGGCUACUUGUGCCACUGAUAGAAGCUCGGUCUCUUCAGGAUCCACCAUGGUUUCAGCUUUGGGACAACACUUGGCUGAGUCCAUGCAGACAGAUCUGAACCCAGUGUCUUCAGGAACCACCAGGAGGCACCACCUUGGGAGUAAAAGUCACAGGGUCUGGAGACAGAAGAAGGAAGCUAUAGGAAGAGAUAAACACCAGAUAGAACCAGCUGGAACAAAGGUGGCAACGAAUCUGACCUCCAACAGACCCUCAGUCUCAUUCUGCUGAGUUUACUGCAUUGGCUACUAGAUGACACACCUACUGGUGGCCCUAACUGGAAGAUAUGGACCAAGAAAGGAUAAAAAGGGUGUGGCUCCCCUUUCCAGGGAAGUGCUGCCCCUUCCCUAGACUAAUGCAUGUGCUCCCCAUCAUUAGCCUCACUCCUCCUGCCUUUGUCUUUACUCUUUAAAAUCAAAUCCCUCUCACCACAUGGGCAAGGUGAUCUGUGAACUAAGUUCCCACUUCUCCAUUCCUUGGCCACAGAAUAAAACUUGAGCUGCGUCAAUCUCA